CGGCCAGCAGCACGGGCACGGCGUUACGUGGUGCUCACACCGACCUGGAGAGCCUGCGCGUCCGAGAACAGCCUCCCCAGAGCCCAGGCAAAAGCAGAUCCAACGCCACUUACCACACUCAGAGGAGGCUCGGUGGCAGCCAGGAAGGAGGCUGCCCUUCCUCACCAGCUCCUGCCUCGGCACUGAGCCCCCUCCCCGGCCGCACAGCCCCGGCUCAGCCCCCGGCUCCCUUAACGAGCACGGAGAGGAGCCGCGGCAGCAGGAGGCGGCGAGGUGAGAGGUCAGUGUAAUAUUUACUCAGACAUCACCUUUCACUUUUAUGAAGCGGGGAAAUCGUGUCGGAGCAGGAAAAGGGCUGCAAGGGACAUUCCAGCCUGGGAAGCCACCUUCACACUGAGAACAGCACGCAGCGAGAUGGUUCCGAGCAGGCCGGUGUGCAGAGAGCUGUUAACACGGCCAGACACAGCACCAGCACCUCGGGGCAGGGCAGGAUGGGUGCCGGGGCAGGGAGCAGCUGCUCUCGUCCCCACCGUGGGCACAGCAUGGGCCCAGCUCGCAGGGCUCUCCCAGCUAUCACUCUGCCUCUUAAGAUGAUCUAGAUUUUUUUUUUAUAAUGCGAUUCUGAUGCCUUUUAUCUCCUGCUCUGAAUGUAAUUUUAGCCCAGGCAAAGCAGGAUUAAACUUUCAUAAUAUGAUACAUUUAUCUCGCUUUCGUUCACCCCAUCACCACCUCCCAGCUCGAUUUCACCCAAACAGAAGCAAUGAUUACAGCGAGAAACACGAGAUGGGAUCUAUCAGAUAGCAGAAGGGAGGGCACCUCUUUCCCAGCGCCCCGUCCCUGCCUGCCCUGCCGCAGCAGCCCAGCUGCCAGCAUCAGGCUGCCAGCAUCACUCAGGCCCCUCUGAAAUACACAGGUGGAUCCUAAUUUGGGCUCAAAACCCAGCAGAGAGCACACAGCUAGGGUGCAUCACUGAUGUAUGUUGCACCUGCGUGUUUGGGAAGGCUUUGUAUGCCUUCUUGGUGACCUCCUGCUCCAGCUGCACCCCGGCAGCUCCCAGCACCUACACUUGGACCAGAAGAGCCACGAACCAUGCCAGGGAGCCACAAACCAUGCCGGGGAACCAGGCUUUCCUGGACCAGGAGCAGGAAGAUCCAGCCUGCCUCAGCCAGGAAUUUCUGGAGAGCACCAAACCCUUCCUGCCUCCCCCACAAGCGCUGUUUUCAGCCACCAGGGAGGCUCCGCUCUGGCUCCACCAGCCUGAUCCGGAGGAUCCCCUCUAGUGGGACGAGAUGGAAUUUCAAGCCCACCGCCCGCUGCCAUCCGCUCCCAGAGCCCUCCGUGCCCCGGCUGGAACCGCAGCCAGGGUGGGGGCACCAGGCCCGGGUGGUUCAUGCUCACAGCCCCAUCCCCAGCACCAGCACGCAGCCAACGUUUGGAUUUUAACCAUGGAGAAAAACCCAAACGUGACCCCCCCCGGGCAGCCGCCUCUGCCGCCCAAGGCCAGCCGCUGCCCUGCUUUUGUUCCCUUCUCUUUUCAGGGCCCAGGCGCUGGCUGCACCGCUCCUGCAGACAAAGGGCUCGUGGCCUCCACGCACCAAAGCGCCUCCGAGCCCCCGUGCCAGCCCCCUCGGGGCUCUCAGCGGGCGGCACAAGGAGGCCGUGCACAGGACACCCUUGGUGAUGGUCCUAAAGAUGCAUCGGAUCCCACCAGGGGUGUUGGUGGCUCAGGGCUUGGCAGCACCUUUGUCCCCCCCACACCCUGGGUUCCCCCUGCCCUCCCUUCUUUUGGUGUGGCGGUGGCCUCCUAGCCAAGCUGGUUAAGAGAUUAACACUCUAAAAACCACAUUUACUCUAAUUAGCCAUGAAAUCUUUGUAACUAAGUGAAAAAAUGUUUCCCUUGAGGGAUUUUUGUCCAUUCAUCACUGUUUGAAUUGCCAGGGAGAGAGAGGAGAGAAAGAAGAGAAAAGAGGGGGAGAAGAGGGGAAGAAAACCUCAGAUCUAAUGAAUUAACGGCGGAGUGCCCCGGGGGAGCAGCGGGCUCCUACAAAACACCUCAAAGGGGGCUUUUCACUGCUGGCCAAAGGGAUGCUGCGGAAUUAUUUCAAGUUAGCAGACCGCAACACAACGCCCCGCGAGCCGGGCAGCCUGGCUGCAGGACCCGUGCCUCCCUUCCGUGGGGACGGACAGACGGACGCUGCGCGCACCGACAGCUGCGUGCCGCUGCCCUGGGGACAGCUGGGGGACAGGGCCCCCAGUUGUUGUCUUACUGGGGGGGGGGAAAAAAGCUUCACAAAGUUGUGGGGGUGAGAUUCUCACCACGACUUGGGCCCAUAAAUAUUUCAAAUCGCUGGAAUAAGAACAAUUAUAUUCCUGCCAGCGCUUUUCUUGUGUAUUUUAAAUGUGUCACCGCCUUCCACUUUCUCCCCCGUUUGUGUUUCUCGUAACAGGCCCAUGAAAUAAAGAUUAGCUGAAUAAUCAAGAGUGUUUAGAAAUGUGAAGGGGCUCGUCUCAGGAGCACUGUGCA